rnacentral:rRNA from 1 species
AUUGAACGCUGGCGGCAUGCCUAACACAUGCAAGUCGAGCGAGCGGCGGACUGGUGAGUAAUUUAUUGACAUCUGCCCAAUCGAGGGGGAUAACUACUGGAAACGUUGGCUAAUACCGCUUACUACCGGAUGGGCCCAUAUGGGAUUAGCUAGUAGGUGGGGUAAAGGCUCACCUAGGCGACGAUCACUAGCUGGUCUGAGAGGAUGAUCAGCCACACUGGGACUGAGACACGGCCCAGACUCCUACGGGAGGCAGCAGUGGGGAAUAUUGCACAAUGGGCGAAAGCCUGAUACAGCCAUGCCGCGUGUAUGAAGAAGGUCUUAGGGUUGUAAAGUACUUUUAGCGGGGAGGCGGUACCCGAAGAAGAAGCACCGGCUAACUCCGUGCCAGCAGCCGCGGUAAUUC